rnacentral:rRNA from 1 species
UACGUAGGCGGUUAAAUAAGUCAGGUGUAAAAGGCAUUGGCUCAACCAAUGUAAGCACUUGAAACUGUUUGACUUGAGUAUAGGAGAGGUAAGUGGAAUUCCUAGUGUAGCGGUGAAAUGCGUAGAUAUUAGGAGGAACACCAGUGGCGAAGGCGACUUACUGGACUAUUACUGACGCUGAGGUACGAAAGACGUGGGGAGGCAAAACA